rnacentral:rRNA from 1 species
UACGGAGGGUGCGAGCGUUGUUCGGAAUUAUUGGGCGUAAAGCGCGUGUAGGCGGCUCCUUAAGUCUGAUGUGAAAGCCCCGGGCUCAACCUGGGAAGUGCAUUGGAAACUGGGGAACUUGAAUACGGGAGAGGGUAGUGGAAUUCCUGGUGUAGGAGUGAGAUCCGUAGAUAUCAGGAGGAACACCGGUGGCGAAGGCGGCGACCUGGGUAGAUACUGACGCUGAGGCGCGAAAGCGUGGGGAGCAAACAGG